ACACUAGUGGUCCAAUGGUUAGGAUUCUUCCCUUCCACUGUGAGCUGAAAUGAGGAAGAGGUCGGUGUUCAAUUCACCGCUAGUGUA